rnacentral:rRNA from 1 species
AACGAACGCUGGCGGCAGGCCUAACACAUGCAAGUCGAGCGAGGACUUCGGUCCUAGCGGCGGACGGGUGAGUAACGCGUGGGAACGUGCCCUUUGCUUCGGAAUAGCCCUGGGAAACUGGGAGUAAUACCGGAUGAGCCCUUUGGGGGAAAGAUUUAUCGGCGAAGGAUCGGCCCGCGUUGGAUUAGGUAGUUGGUGGGGUAAUGGCCUACCAAGCCGACGAUCCAUAGCUGGUUUGAGAGGAUGAUCAGCCACACUGGGACUGAGACACGGCCCAGACCCCUCCGGGGGGGCGCAGGGGGGAAUCUUAGAAAUUGGGGGAAACCCUGAUCUAGCCCUGCCGGGGGAGCGAUGAAGGCUUUGGGGUUGUAAAGCUCUUUCAGCGGGGAAGAUAAGGCCGGGACCAGCAAAAGAAGCCCCGGCUACCCCCGG